rnacentral:rRNA from 1 species
AUGCGCCAUAGGAAUUGGCCUGGGAAUCCUGUUUGUUCUUUUUGCAAUGAGAUUGAGACUUCCCGGCACUUGUUCUUUACUUGUCCUGUUGCAAAGGUGGUGUGGCGAUCUAUUGGGGUGGCUAUUGGCACCGAUAAAUGUCCAGAUAACUAUUGGCAAUUCUUUGCUUGGUGCCACUCCUUUCUUCCUGGAGAGGGCAAGUUCUAUACGGUUGGACUUGCAGCCGCGUGCUGGGCAAUCUGGCUCGCUCGCAAUAAGGCUACGUUUGAAAAAAAAGCAAAUCAAGUCUCCUUUUGA